rnacentral:rRNA from 1 species
CCUACGGGAGGCAGCAGUAAGGAAUAUUGGUCAAUGGGCGGAAGCCUGAACCAGCCAUGCCGCGUGCAGGAAGACGGCCCUACGGGUUGUAAACUGCUUUUGUACCGGAAUAAACCUUGAUAUGUAUAUCAAGCUGAAUGUACGGUAAGAAUAAGGAUCGGCUAACUCCGUGCCAGCAGCCGCGGUAAUACGGAGGAUCCAAGCGUUAUCCGGAUUUAUUGGGUUUAAAGGGUGCGUAGGUGGCUUAUUAAGUCAGGGGUGAAAGACGGUAGCUUAACUAUCGCAGUGCCUUUGAUACUGAUGAGCUUGAAUCCACUAGAGGUAGGCGGAAUGUGACAAGUAGCGGUGAAAUGCAUAGAUAUGUCACAGAACACCAAUUGCGAAGGCAGCUUACUAUGGUGGUAUUGACACUGAGGCACGAAAGCGUGGGGAUCAAACAGGAUUAGAUACCCUGGUAGUCCACGCCCUAAACGAUGAAUACUCGAUGUUGGCGAUAUACGGUCAGCGUCUAAGCGAAAGCGUUAAGUAUUCCACCUGGGGAGUACGCCCGCAAGGGUGAAACGUCAAAGGAAUUGACGG